UACGGGGGGAGGCAAGCGUUGUUCGGAUUUACUGGGCGUAAAGGGCGCGUAGGCGGCCAGUGCAAGUCAGUUGUGAAAUCUCCGAGCUUAACUCGGAAAGGUCAACUGAUACUGCUCGGCUAGAGUGCGGAAGGGGCAACUGGAAUUCUUGGUGUAGCGGUGAAAUGCGUAGAUAUCAAGAGGAACACCUGCGGCGAAGGCGGGUUGCUGGGCCGACACUGACGCUGAUGCGCGAAAGCUAGGGGAGCGAACGGG
rnacentral:rRNA from 1 species